rnacentral:rRNA from 1 species
AUUGAACGCUGGCGGCAGGCCUAACACAUGCAAGUCGAACGAGUGGCGGACGGGUGAGUAAUGUCUGGGAAACUGCCUGAUGGAGGGGGAUAACUACUGGAAACGGUAGCUAAUACCGCAUACCAUCAGAUGUGCCCAGAUGGGAUUAGCUAGUUGGUGGGGUAACGGCUCACCUAGGCGACGAUCCCUAGCUGUUCUGAGAGGAUGACCAGCCACACUGGAACUGAGACACUGUCCAGACUCCUACGGGAGGCAGCAGUGGGGAAUAUUGCACACUGGGCGCAAGCCUGAUGCAGCCAUGCCGCGUGUAUGAAGAAGGCCUUCGGGUUUUAAAGUACUUUCAGCGAGGAGGCGUUACUCGCAGAAGAAGCACCGGCUAACUCCGUGCCAGCAGCCGCGGUAAUUC